AAAUUGAAGAGUUUGAUCAUGGCUCAGAUUGAACGCUGGCGGCAGGCCUAACACAUGCAAGUCGAACGGUAGCACAGAGAGCUUGCUCUCGGGUGACGAGUGGCGGACGGGUGAGUAAUGUCUGGGAAACUGCCUGAUGGAGGGGGAUAACUACUGGAAACGGUGGCUAAUACCGCAUAACGUCGCAAGACCAAAGAGGGGGACCUUCGGGCCUCUUGCCAUCAGAUGUGCCCAGAUGGGAUUAGCUAGUUGGUGAGGUAACGGCUCACCAAGGCGACGAUCCCUAGCUGGUCUGAGAGGAUGAC
rnacentral:rRNA from 1 species